CAAACAACAUAAAAAUCAUGUCAUGCGAGGUUCAUGGAGCUAGAAGCAAUGUUUCUUUUACCUUUUUGUGUAAACCGCCCUUUUGUAUGGUUUAAAAAACGACUGGUGUCCAUCAGGACUUUAAGAAACAAUUUAUCUACGUUUUACCUCCGUUUAGUGUACUGGCUGAAAAGUCAUCAAUGCUUAGUCAUAGCCCACUACUAUUUAUAACGUGAACAAAACCCCAAACUAAACUCUCCGCCAUAAUGAACUCGAUACAAAACAAGAGUGACUUCAAGUUAGUUUUAGGUUCGAAGACUCCAUGUUGAAUGAGAGUCUUUUAUGGCUACAAAGUAGUUUGGACCUUGUAUUAUAUGCCUUUAAAUGUUGUGGCUGGGCAUAUCCUUUUGUGUAAAAA